GACAGAGGGUGCAAACGUUGUUCGGAAUUACUGGGCGUAAAGCGCGUGUAGGCAGCUCGGAAAGUCGGAUGUGAAAGCCCUGGGCUCAACCUAGGAAGUGCAUUCGAAACUUCCGAGCUGGAGUGCUGGAGAGGAAGGCGGAAUUCUCGGUGUAGAGGUGAAAUUCGUAGAUAUCGAGAGGAACACCGGUGGCGAAGGCGGCCUUCUGGACAGUUACUGACGCUGAGACGCGAAAGCGUGGGGAGCAAACAGG
rnacentral:rRNA from 1 species